rnacentral:tRNA from 1 species
AAGGGAGACCUAAUACGGGUAUAAGACGAAAAAAGAGUAGUCGAAACCAAGAAUCAAUCCCAAAAGGUCGGAACGAGGUAUGUGGCUUUCAAACUAGGUUCUGGGUUCACACAAGACCUGAAUCAGGAACAAGGGCUAUUAGCUCAGGUGGUUAGAGCGCACCCCUGAUAAGGGUGAGGUCCCUGGUUCGAGUCCAGGAUGGCCCACCUGCACAGGUGGCAAAAACAAAGAAGCGAGGAAUCAGCACCUUAUCUUAUCUAUAUAUAAGAGAGAAUGCUGGCUCUGAGUAAAGAGUCCAGAGGAACCUUGAAAACUGCAUAGGGCUAGGUGAAAAAGCCAAAAAAGAAGACCGCAA